GAUGAACGCUGGCGGCGUGCCUAAUACAUGCAAGUCGAGCGAACAGACGAGGAGCUUGCUCCUUCGACGUUAGCGGCGGACGGGUGAGUAACACGUAGGUAACCUACCUAUAAGACUGGGAUAACUUCGGGAAACCGGAGCUAAUACCGGAUAAUAUUUCGAACCGCAUGGUUCGAUAGUGAAAGAUGGCUUUGCUAUCACUUAUAGAUGGACCUGCGCCGUAUUAGCUAGUUGGUAAGGUAACGGCUUACCAAGGCAACGAUACGUAGCCGACCUGAGGGGGUGAUCGGCCACACUGGAACUGAGACACGGUCCAGACUCCUACGGGAGGCAGCAGUAGGGAAUCUUCCGCAAUGGGCGAAAGCCUGACGGAGCAACGCCGCGUGAGUGAUGAAGGUCUUCGGAUCGUAAAACUCUGUUAUUAGGGAAGAACAAACGUGUAAGUAACUGUGCACGUCUUGACGGUACCUAAUCAGAAAGCCACGGCUAACUACGUG
rnacentral:rRNA from 1 species